AAAUAGAUACCCCGGUAGUCCACGCCGUAAACGAUGAAUACUAGGUGUAGGAGGGUCCAACCUUCUGUGCCGCCGUUAACACAUUAAGUAUUCCGCCUGGGGAGUACGGUCGCAAGAUUAAAACUCAAAGGAAUUGACGGGGGCCCGCACAAGCAGCGGAGCAUGUGGUUUAAUUCGAAGCAACGCGAAGAACCUUACCUAGACUUGACAUCUCCUGAAUUACCGGUAAUGCGGGAAGCCCUUCGGGGCAGGAAGACAGGUGGUGCAUGGUUGUCGUCAGCUCGUGUCGUGAGAUGUUGGGUUAAGUCCCGCAACGAGCGCAACCCUUAUUGUUAGUUGCUACCAUUAAGUUGAGCACUCUAGCAAGACUGCCGGGGUUAACUCGGAGGAAGGUGGGGAUGACGUCAAAUCAUCAUGCCCCUUAUGUCUAGGGCUACACACGUGCUACAAUGGCGAGUACAACGAGAGGCAAAGCCGCGAGGCGGAGCAAAACUGUAAAACUCGUCCCAAGUUCGGAUUGCAGGCUGAAACUCGCUACAUGAAGCCGG
rnacentral:rRNA from 1 species